rnacentral:rRNA from 1 species
CAGCAUCAGUUGGGCACUUAAGGGACUGCCGGUGACAAACCGGAGGAAGGUGGGGAUGACGUCAAAUCAUCAUGCCCCUUGUGACCUGGGCUACACACGUGCUACAAUGGACAGAACAAAGGGCAGCGAAACCGCAGGUUAAGCCAAUCCCACAAAUCUGUUCUCAGUUUGGAUCGCAGUCUGCAACUCGACUGCGUGAAGCUGGAAUCGCUAGUAAUCGCGGAUCAGCAUGCCGCGGUGAAUACGUUCCCGGGCCUUGUACACACCGCCCGUCACACCACGAGAGUUUGUAACACCCGAAGUCGGUGAGGUAACCUUUAAGGAGACAGCCGCCGAAGGUGGACCAGAUGAAAUGGGGGG